CUCAGAAACUUAAGGAAUUGACGGGACCCGCACAAGCAGCGGAGCAUGUGGUUAAUUCGAUGCAACGCGAAGAACCUUACCUGGUCUUGACAUCCCGGAGACCCUUAGGAAACUAGGGGGUGCUUCCAUCUGGAAGAAUCUGGAGACAGGUGCUGCAUGGCUGUCGUCAGCUCGUGUCGUGAGAUGUUGGGUUAAGUCCCGCAACGAGCGCAACCCUUGCCUUUAGUUGCCAGCAGUUCGGCUGGGCACUCUAAAGGGACUGCCGGUGUUAAACCGGAGGAAGGUGGGGAUGACGUCAAGUCCUCAUGGCCUUUAUGACCAGGGCUACACACGUACUACAAUGGCCGAUACAAAGGGCAGCGACACUGCGAGGUGAAGCCAAUCCCGUAAAAUCGGUCUCAGUCCGGAUUGGAGUCUGCAACUCGACUCCAUGAAGUUGGAAUCGCUAGUAAUCGUGGAUCAGCAUGCCACGGUGAAUACGUUCCCGGGCCUU
rnacentral:rRNA from 1 species